rnacentral:rRNA from 1 species
AUUGAACGCUGGCGGCAGGCCUAACACAUGCAAGUCGAGCGGAUGACGGGAGCUUGCUCCUGGAUUCAGCGGCGGACGGGUGAGUAAUGCCUAGGAAUCUGCCUGGCAGUGGGGGACAACGUAUCGAAAGGAACGCUAAUACCGCAUACGUCCUACGGGAGAAAGCAGGGGACCGUCGGGCCUUGCGCUAGCAGACGAGCCUAGGUCGGAUUAGCUAGUUGGUGAGGUAAUGGCUCACCAAGGCGACGAUCCGUAACUGGUCUGAGAGGAUGAUCAGUCACACUGGAACUGAGACACGGUCCAGACUCCUACGGGAGGCAGCAGUGGGGAAUAUUGGACAAUGGGCGAAAGCCUGAUCCAGCUAUGCCGCGUGUGUGAAGAAGGUCUUCGGAUUGUAAAGCACUUUAAGUUGGGAGGAAGGGUUGUAGAUUAAUACUCUGCAAUUUUGACGUUACCGACAGAAUAAGCACCGGCCAACUCUGUGCCAGCCGCCGCAGUAAUAC